GUAUUGACGGAUCACCGGUUGGACAACAUUCUUUUGUAUGCCGAUCGUUGAAGGGUAUUCGUUACUCUAGGCCUCCGAAAUCCAGGUAUUCAUCGUUUUGGAUGUUAACGUAGUGCUGGGCUUCUUGGAAUCGUGGCCUCUUAAUGAGGAGCUGUCACUGAAGCAAUUAUCCUGGAAACUGAUUACGCUCCUGUGUCUCCUUUCAUGCAAAAGGGUUUCGGAUGUCAGGGCUUUGGACUGGAACGCGUUAUCCUUCACCCCCGAGGGAGUGUCGUUUAACAUCUCUAGGAGGACUAAGACGUCUUCUAAGUUGGUGACCUACCCUAGGUGUUCAGUCCGACCUGCUCUGUGUCCGGUGGCUUGCCUACGGGUGUACUUGGAUCGCACUCACCAAUUGAAGUCAUUGGAUUUGUCCCAAUUGUUUAUUUCCUUUAAGAAGCAGUUUCUCCCGAUCUCCUCGACUAUGUUAGCUCGUUGGAUUAAGAAACUUCUUUCUGCUGCAGGGAUCGAUACUUCAAUAUUUUCGGCUCAUUCGGUCUGGAUGAUAUCUUGAAGGCAGCGGAUUGGUCUAGAGAAUCUACGUUCUGCGAUUUUUAUUUCCGCCCGAUUGACCAUGUUUUCUCGUUAGUUG